ACACGACUACAUUAGAUACCCGCGUAGUCCUGGCCGUAAACGAUGUGGACUUGGUGUUGGGAUGGCUCCGAGCUGCCCCAGUGCCGAAGGGAAGCUGUUAAGUCCACCGCCUGGGAAGUACGGUCGCAAGGCUGAAACUUAAAGGAAUUGGCGGGGGAACACCACAAGAGGUGGAGGCUGCGGUUCAAUUGGACUCAACGCCGGAAAACUCAUCGGGAGCGACAGCAGUAUGAUUGCCAGGUUGAUGACCUUGCUUGACAAGCUG
rnacentral:rRNA from 1 species